AUAGAUAAUGUUUAUCGAUGAGAAAACAGAAAUUUGAAGAGGCAAAGCAAGUUGCCCAAGGCCAAGGGAGAAGGUCAGCGUGAACUGCUACCGCCAUGUUGAAGUUCAUCUUCUCUUCACUGCGAGAAGCUGCCUGGACACCAGGGUGGAGGAGCUGUCAGGGCCCUCACUGUGGAAGGAAGGUCCACAGAAAACAUCCUGGGGUCCUGAGCUGAAGUGUGAUGGGAGGAGUCCUCUGUAUCUCAGUCUGAUCCUGGUCUCCCUCUCGGCCAUGGUCUCACACUAGUGCUGCUGGGAAACCAUCCCUCACAUCCAGUCCUGGCAUCGGGCAGUGACUCUGGUCCAACUGUUGUCCAACUCAAGGGUUUAGCUGCUUAGAUUUUCCUAAAACUUGAAUUUCAUUUUCCUCUAGCCAUGGAAUACAGAUUAAUCCUUUACAAUUAAAAUCCAAGUUCAGAUUUUA
rnacentral:lncRNA from 10 species